rnacentral:rRNA from 1 species
CAGCAGCCGCGGUAAUACGAAGGGUGCAAGCGUUAAUCGGAAUUACUGGGCGUAAAGCGUGCGUAGGCGGUUUGUUAAGUCUGUUGUGAAAUCCCCGGGCUCAAACUGGGAAUGGCAAUGGAUACUGGCAAGCUAGAGUGUGUCAGAGGAUGGUGGGAUUCCCGGUGUAGCGGUGAAAUGCGUAGAGAUCGGGAGGAACAUCAGUGGCGAAGGCGGCCAUCUGGGACAACACUGACGCUGAGGCACGAAAGCGUGGGGAGCAAACAGGAUUAGAGACCCGCGUAGUCCCUGUCUCUUAUAA